rnacentral:rRNA from 1 species
ACUACGGGAGGCAGCAGUCGGGAAUAUUGCUCCAUGGGGGAAACCCUGAAGCAGCAACGCCGCGUGGAGGAUGAAGGUUUUCGGAUUGUCAACUCCUUUUGUUAGAGAAGAUCAUGACGGUCUCUAACGAAUAAGCACCGGCUAACUCCGUGCCAGCAGCCGCGGUAAUACGGCGGGGGCGAGCGUUACUCGGAAUCACUGGGCGUAAAGAGCGCGGAGACGGGAUAGCAAGUCAGAUGUGAAAUCCUAUGGCUUAACCAUAGAACUGCAUUUGAAACUGUUAUUCUAGAGUAUGGGAGAGGUAGGUGGAAUUCUUGGUGUAGGGGUAAAAUCCGUAGAGAUCAAGAGGAAUACUCAUUGCGAAGGCGACCGGCUAGAACAUAACUGACGCUGAUGCGCGAAAGCGUGGGGAGCAAACAGGAUUAGAUACCCCGGUAGUC